rnacentral:rRNA from 1 species
UACGUAGGGUGCGAGCGUUGUCCGGAAUUAUUGGGCGUAAAGGGCUCGUAGGCGGCUCGUUAAGUCAGACGUGAAAGCCCUCGGCUUAACCGGGGAACGGCGUCUGAGACUGGCAAGCUUGAAUCCGGGAGAGGGAUGCGGAAUUCCAGGUGUAGCGGUGAAAUGCGUAGAUAUCUGGAGGAACACCGGUGGCGAAGGCGGCAUCCUGGACCGGUAUUGACGCUGAGGAGCGAAAGCCAGGGGAGCAAACGGG